rnacentral:rRNA from 1 species
UACGGAGGGGGGCUAGCGUUGUUCGGAAUUACUGGGCGUAAAGCGCGCGUAGGCGGACCUGCAAGUCGGGGGUGAAAGCCCGAGGCUCAACCUCGGAACUGCGUUUGAUACGGAUGGGCUAGAGUUCGGGAGAGGAGAGUGGAAUUCCCAGUGUAGAGGUGAAAUUCGUAGAUAUUGGGAAGAACACCGGUGGCGAAGGCGGCUCUCUGGACCGAGACUGACGCUGAGGCGCGAAAGCGUGGGGAGCAAACAGGG